AAAAAAGGUAAGCUACUAAGAGCGAAUGGUGGAUGCCUUGACUGGUAAAGGCGAUGAAGGACGUACUAGACUGCGAUAAGCUACGGGGAGCUGUCAAGAAGCUUUGAUCCGUAGAUUUCCGAAUGGGGCAACCCAAUGUAUAGAGAUAUACAUUACCUAUAUAGGAGCGAACGAGGGGAAUUGAAACAUCUUAGUACCCUCAGGAAAAGAAAUCAAUAGAGAUUGCGUCAGUAGCGGCGAGCGAAAGCGCAAGAGGGCAAACCCAGUGCUUGCACUGGGGGUUGUAGGACUGCAAUGUGCAAGAGGUGAGUUUAGCAGAACAUUCUGGAAAGUAUAGCCAUAGAGGGUGAUAGUCCCGUAUGCGAAAAACAAACCUUAGCUAGCAGUAUCCUGAGUAGGGCGGGACACGAGAAAUCCUGUCUGAAGCUGGGUCGACCACGAUCCAACCCUAAAUACUAAUACCAGAUCGAUAGUGCACAAGUACCGUGAGGGAAAGGUGAAAAGAACUGAGGUGAUCAGAGUGAAAUAGAACCUGAAACCAUUUGCUUACAAUCAUUCAGAGCCCUAUGUAGCAAUACAGGGUGAUGGACUGCCUUUUGCAUAAUGAGCCUGCGAGUUGUGGUGUCUGGCAAGGUUAAGCAAACGCGAAGCCGUAGCGAAAGCGAGUCUGAAUAGGGCGCUUAGUCAGAUGCUGCAGACCCGAAACGAAGUGAUCUAUCCAUGAGCAAGUUGAAGCUAGUGUAAGAACUAGUGGAGGACUGAACCCAUAGGCGUUGAAAAGCCCCGGGAUGACUUGUGGAUAGGGGUGAAAGGCCAAUCAAACUUCGUGAUAGCUGGUUCUCUCCGAAAUAUAUUUAGGUAUAGCGUUGUGUCGUAAUAUAAGGGGGUAGAGCACUGAAUGGGCUAGGGCAUACACCAAUGUACCAAACCCUAUCAAACUCCGAAUACCUUAUAUGUAAUCACAGCAGUCAGGCGGCGAGUGAUAAAAUCCGUCGUCAAGAGGGAAACAACCCAGACUACCAGCUAAGGUCCCUAAAUCUUACUUAAGUGGAAAACGAUGUGAAGUUACUUAAACAACCAGGAGGUUGGCUUAGAAGCAGCCAUCCUUUAAAGAAAGCGUAAUAGCUCACUGGUCUAGUGAUUUUGCGCGGAAAAUAUAACGGGGCUAAAGUAAGUACCGAAGCUGUAGACUUGCGCACAACUUAGAUUAUUUAAGUUUAGAAUAUGAGAAACUAAGUUAUAUGUUUAGUUAUAUUUUUACUGAUUUUUAUAGAGUAAAGAUAGAAAUAAAACUUAGUAAAAUCAGUAAAAAUAUUCUUAGACUAAAGUUAAGUAGUUUAAGUUGUGUGCAAGUGGUAGGAGAGCGUUCUAUUUGCGUCGAAGGUAUACCGGUAAGGAGUGCUGGAGCGAAUAGAAGUGAGCAUGCAGGCAUGAGUAGCGAUAAUUAAUGUGAGAAUCAUUAACGCCGUAAACCCAAGGUUUCCUACGCGAUGCUCGUCAUCGUAGGGUUAGUCGGGUCCUAAGUCGAGUCCGAAAGGGGUAGACGAUGGCAAAUUGGUUAAUAUUCCAAUACCAACAUUAGUGUGCGAUGGAAGGACGCUUAGGGCUAAGGGGGCUAGCGGAUGGAAGUGCUAGUCUAAGGUCGUAGGAGGU
rnacentral:rRNA from 1 species